ACACUUUCCAACACGGGUAUUUCGACAUAUUUUGUAUGUAUUUGUUGUCGGUACAAAAGCAAGAAGACUUUGAGACGCGUCUCUGCUUGCUCCCUGAACAACACCGCGCUGAUGAAUUGAGCUCUUUUGCUUUUCGCUCUUUUUUCUGUUUAUUUAAACUGCGAUUUGAAUUUGUUCGUUCAGGUCCAGGAGGAAGUGAACGUCCUGAACGACAGCUCUGUUCAGUGUUGCUGUCCCUGUCCGCGAUACGCGCGGCUCUCUCUCGUGCACACGCGCCAUCAGCUGCUCAGUUCAGUUUCCCGCAGCGCGGGGCUGAAGCCAACUUGAUGUGUUGAAUGCUCGGAGCACGUUAUAAAACGUAUUCUUAAAAUACACAUUUCUGUUUUAAUAAAUGGUCAUAUUAAAUCAUAGCAUAACACAUAAGUAGGUACAAAAAUAAUCAGUGAUGCAUGCGACCCUUUUGGUCUCAGUGUAGCUCCCUGCUUUACCAUGUUAUGCAACGCUGAGCAAUUGCUGCGACGUUAAGCCUGACAGAGAAAUCUCACAAGCACAUAUAAACACUCAUUUUCAUAUGUGUAAUAUAUUCUUCUAAUUGUUUUGUGCCGUUUCGCUGCAGUGUUUUAAUGUGAAAGGCUGUAAAUGUGUACUUCAAGUGUUCAGUCGCGAGCUCAUCUGUGACGUUCAGCAUGAUGAUUCAGUUAGAAACCAGCUAAGACCAGCGUGACAGUGGCCAAAACUACUUUAAAACCAUAUAAUAUAUUAUUCUAAUUGUUUUGUGCCGUUUCGCUGCAGUGUUUUAAUGCGAAAGGCUGUAAAUUCUCUGUGGACUUCAAGUGUUCAGAGAAAUACAUCGCCAGCUCGCGGACAUUUGGCUGCCGCGAAUAUAUCAUGUUAUUACUUUAAACAGUUCAGAAACAUCUGAAUUUAGCUCUUGGUGUGUUCUAACGUGUGGAUUGCGUGCAAUCGCCGUUUUAAAAGGUCUUAAAUUAGAAUGAAUUCGCUCGUUGUGAGCUCCGUGGAGACAGACUGAGCUGAGCAGCAGUGAUUCUUCUCUCGUCUUUCUGACUGCUCUCUGCCCAGAAAUAAAUUAUUAAUGAGCCCUGACCCCUGUAAUAAUCAGAUAUGUUGGUUUAGCUUGUCAGUUUGAAGGAAAUUGUAUUAUUUACUUGUAUUUUUAACGGUUUAAAAGUGAAACGAAACCCGACUCCGCCCCUAAAUCUCAUUGCAACUGUAGGGGCGCAAUUUUUCUCAGACAAUGUAAGUCUAUGGGUAAUGAAUUUUGACAUUUAAAAAUUAAUAAAAAAAAAACUUUAAGUCUGAUCAGUCUGAAAAGAUAUAGCACACACCACCGCUCUAUCCCGCAGGUUUCUGCCGAGUUUGGGGCUUGUGGCUUUAAAGCCCUAGGAGGAGUAGCGUUCAGAAUUUCUGUCAGAAAAAUAAUAAUAAGAAAAAGAAGAAGAAGAAGAAGUUUAAAUAGCAUAACAGUAUGUUGGCUUGUUGCCAAGCCAACAUAACUAGAAUUAAAAGUUAGUGAACUAACUUUGAUGUUGGCUUGGCCAUCUUGGCCAUGGAGCAAAAGAGCCAAAGUACUUGUGUGCCCAACAUUGAGUUGCCCCGCUGCAAAAUUAAUACAAAUAAUAAUGCCAUAAAAAAAUACACCUGCAACAGUCUUUUUCCAUGCUCCCUUGCUGUUUUCUUUUUUUAAUAAAAAGCCUGGGCUAUGAUAACAGCUAUGACAGGGUUGUCUAGCUGGAUGUGAAAUAA